UAAUCCGGCAGAACGGGCCUUUCUACCUGCUUAGCGACGACUCUCUAUUUUCUGAUAUGUCCAAAAGAUAAGGCUUGACAGUUAAUCUUGACAUUUAAAAAAAUUAAAAUUGUGUGAAAUGAAAUUCCAUCAAAUCCUGAUACAUUUGAAUACAAAAUACACAAAAAUACAUAAUUACAAGAAAAAAAAUAUUGCCAUUGCAAAUAAUAAUAACAAAUUUAAAUUUAUUUCAUUAUAAAUGUAGUUCACUUUUUAAUGUUUUUAAUUAAUCUUUAAAAAAAAAAAUAUGCGAAAGUAUUUGGUCAUUCCUUAUCUUUUUUGAUGGUAUAAUUUCUGCCCUUAAAGUAUCAUCAAUUAUGUACGAAAUCCCGACACUACUUUUAAGUCCCAAAUUAAAAAUUCCAUUGAAAUAAUUAGAAAAUAAUAUUGAAAG